rnacentral:rRNA from 1 species
GGGAGGUAGUGACAAUAAAUAACAAUACAGGGUCCUUUCGGGUCUUGUAAUUGGAAUGAGUACAAUUUAAAUCUCUUAACGAGGAACAAUUGGAGGGCAAGUCUGGUGCCAGCAGCCGCGGUAAUUCCAGCUCCAAUAGCGUAUAUUAAAGUUGUUGCAGUUAAAAAGCUCGUAGUUGAAUUUCGGGGUCAAUGCGUCGGUCGUGCCUUCGGUACGUACUGAUGUUAUUGAUUCCUCCCUUCUGACGAACCGUGAUGUCAUUAAUUUGGUGUUACGGGGAAUCAGGACUGUUACCUUGAAAAAUUAGAGUGUUUAAAGCAGGCUAACGCUUGAAUACAUUAGCAUGGAAUAAUGAAAUAGGACGUUCGAACCUAUUUUGUUGGUUUCUAGGAUCAACGUAAUGAUUAAUAGGGAUAGUUGGG